rnacentral:misc_RNA from 1 species
GCUUAGGCGUAAUCUACAUCAACCACAACUUCGCCACGGAAAGCGAAGCCAAUCUGGCGCUGAAUGAAGAGGCCGACGUGCGAAACGCAAUGUAUUAUCACGUCAUACUUAUCCGGGAACUGGGUAGCAAUGGCAAUAUACACGCCAGCGCGAAUAUUUAUCGCUAGCAUCAGGAAAACCAACGAAAAAGCCAUAGUUGAUUUGCCCCCUGAACAGGGGGCUUUUUUCGCGGAAAGAUGGCUCCGGAAUUAGACCUGUGACAUCCCGAUAAUAUUCACAUUCCGGAGCUCAUACUUCACUUCUGCCCGUAAUACGCAUUCGGGCCAUGCUUACGCAUGAAGUGCUUGUUCAUCAGAUAAUCGUCGAUGGGGUUGAGG